UUCAGAGGAACCUGUUCUAUAAUUGAUAGUCCACGAUUUAAUUAACUUAUUUUAGUAAUUUACAUAUCGUCGUAGAUUGAAUAUUUUUUUAGAAUAAUAAUAUUCAAGAUUUUUUAUGAAAAAUUAAAUCAGAUCAAGGUGUAGUUUAUAAAUAAGAAGAAAUGGGUUACAAUAAAUUUAUUUAUACAGAUAAUUUAUUUAAAAUUGAUUUGAAGGUGGAUUUGAAAGUAAUUUUAAUUAAUUAAUUAAAAUGAUUUUAGCUCUAAAAUAUGCACAUAUCGCCCGUCAUUUUCACUAUAAAGUGAAACAAGUCGUAACAUAGUAGGUGUACUGGAAAGUGUACCUAGAAAGACAAAUUAGAGCUUGAUAUAAAGCAUUUUAUUUACAUUAAAAAGUUUACUGUGAAAUUCAGUAUAAUUUGAAUUUAAAAUAUUAUUUAAAUUUAAAAUUUUUAUUUAUUUAAAUAAAAUAAUUUAUUGUUUAAUUAAAAAAAAGAAUUAAUUUAUUUAAUUAUAGAGAAUUAGUAUUGUGAAAGAAAUAUAAAAAAUUUUUUAAAGAAUAAUUUAAUUUUAGUACCUUGUGCAUCAGGGUUUAUUAAAAAAUAAUUAUUAAUUUAAUUUUCUCGAAUUUAAAAGAGUUAUUUAUAUAUCAUUUUUAUUGUUUUAUAAAUAUUAAUAAUAUAUAAAUAGUAAUGAAAUGUUAUUCGUUUUUAAAUAUAUCUAGUUUUUUAAGAAAUAAAUUUAAUUUAUUUAAUAAAAAUAUUUUUUUUAAUUUUUAAUUAAAUGUUAUUAUUAUUUAAUAUUUUAAGGGAUGAGCUUUAAAAUAAAAUUUUAAAAAUGAAUAAAUUGUAUUGAAUAAAUAGGAUUAUAAAUUUUCAUUUUUAUUAAUAUGUUAUAAUUAUUUUAAUUUUUUAUAUAAUUUAUAUUUAUUUUAAAUUUUUUAUUAAAAUGUUAAUUUAAAUUUUUAUAAUUAGGAAAUAAUGAUAAAAUUAGUAUAAAUAAUAGUAAAUUAUUAUUUUAGAUUAAGGUUAUAUAAAGGAAUUCGGCAAAAAAUUUUCACCUGUUAAUAAAAACAUGGCCUUUUGACAAUAAUUUAAGGUCUAACCUGCCCAAUGAAAAUUUAAAUGGCCGCGGUAUUUUGACCGUGCAAAGGUAGCAUAAUCAUUUGUUUUUUAAUUGAAAGCUGGAAUGAAGGGUUGAAUGAGAAAAUAACUGUCUCUAUUUAAUUUUUAUAGAAUUUUAUUUUUAAGUUAAAAAGCUUAAAUUUUAUUUGAAGACGAGAAGACCCUAUAGAGUUUAAUAGUUUAAUUAAUUUAAAUUAAUUAGAAUUAAUUUAAUGAAAAUUAAUUAAUUAUUUGAUUGGGGUGAUUAAAAAAUUUAAUUAACUUUUUUUGUAUUUUUACAUUAAUUAAUGAAAAUAUGAUCCUUUUUAUAAGAUUAAAAGAAUAAAUUACCUUAGGGAUAACAGCGUAAUUUUUUUUUAGAGUUCUAAUCGAAAGAAAAGAUUGCGACCUCGAUGUUGGAUUAAAAUUAAUUUUUGGCGUAGCAGUUAAAUAAUUUGGGUCUGUUCGACCUUUAAAAUUUUACUUGAUCUGAGUUCAAACCGGUGUGAGCCAGGUUGGUUUCUAUCUCAAAUUAGUUAACAUAUUUUAGUACGAAAGGACCAAAUAUGUAUUUAAUAAAUUUAUUAUAUUAGAAUAAUUUUAAAAUGUUAUUUUGGCAGAUUAGUGCAAUAGAUUUAGAAUCUAUAUAUGUAAAUUUUACAAAUAAUACUUGAUUUUUAAGGAUUUAAUAAUAAUAUUGAUUUCGAGAGUAAUUUUAGCUUUGUGUGUAAUAAUUGGAGUAGCUUUUUUAACUUUAUUAGAACGUAAAGUUUUAGGAUAUAUUCAAAUUC
rnacentral:rRNA from 1 species